UACGAAGGGGGCUAGCGUUGCUCGGAUUCAUUGGGCGUAAAGGGUGCGUAGGUGGCGCGCUAAGUCAGGUGUGAAAUUUCGGAGCUUAACUCCGAAACUGCAUUUGAUACUGGCGUGCUUGAGGACUGGAGAGGAGACUGGAAUUCACGGUGUAGCAGUGAAAUGCGUAGAGAUCGUGAGGAAGACCAGUGGCGAAGGCGGGUCUCUGGACAGUUCCUGACACUGAGGCACGAAGGCCAGGGGAGCAAACGGG
rnacentral:rRNA from 1 species